rnacentral:rRNA from 1 species
AGAAUCAACGCUGGCGGCGUGCCUAACACAUGCAAGUCGAACGCGAAAGGGGAGCAAUCCCUGAUUAGAGUGGCAAACGGGUGAGUAACACGUGGGUGACCUGCCUUCGAGUGGGGGAUAACCUUCCGAAAGGAGGGCUAAUACCGCAUGACAUACCGUGUUUGGAUACACGGAUAUCAAAGCCGGGGAUCGCAAGACCUGGCGCUUGAAGAGGGGCCCGCGUCCGAUUAGCUAGUUGGUGGGUAACGCUCACCAAGGCUCCGAUCGGUA